UUUAAAGAGGGAAUUUUGGCGGGAUUAUUUAUUUUUUUAAGAACUUUUCCAUAUAAUGGCUUUUAUUAGAUUCGAAAUAGGGUUCAAAUUUCUGGGGUUCGAAGAGCAUGGAGACAAGUCGCGGAAGAAGAAGCAACAUAACGGGCAUGGAAGAGAACACCUUAGCCAUCCUCGAAUCCACCGAAGCAAAAGACACUCAAGACGCCAAUGAUGAUAGGAUUGCUUUUCUUGAGGCUGUUAAAGCUGCUUCAAUCAUACCUGAAAUUGGAACUGCUCCAACCUUCAAAAUGUAUGAGGCUGUGUUUCAAAUUCUGAGGAUCGGGACAUCUCUAGAAUUGAUGAUGACAAGUUAUGAGCUUCUUAAUGAGUUAGAUAAGCGUUUUCCUCAAGUGUAUCUAUCCAAAUCAUCGUCUGAUGGCUCACAUGAACUGGUUGUGGUUAAUGAGGCUUGGUCGCCCUUUUUUCCUUGCGCAAAUGUUACUUGUGGUGAGAGGAAAGCAGGCGCAGAAAUCUCUAGUGGCUCACUUGAUUUUUCAUGUUUUAUUCUAUUGAUACAAGAGCUAGUUGAAGUAGCCAAUGGAACAAAUGUUAAAGCUAUAGACACAAAGCACCUGAGGAGUAUGUUAUUAUUUCAAUAUCUUGUCAGUGUAUUUGAAGGAGACUUCAUGCCUCGUAACAUUGUGUAUGAGGAAACAAUCAACUGGGUGCUUCUUCGGGAGUCCUUGCUCAGCAUGCUUCUGGGUUCAAGAAGAACAAAUUAUAAAAAUUUAAUGAAGGAUUGCUUGUCCAUUUUAUGUGGCCUUUGCCAAGCACAUACUGGACUCAUUAGCGAUCAUGGUUGUUCAGAGAAUUCUGUUAGAAAGCCAUCCGGAGAGCAUAAUACUCCUUUGGUGUUUGCUUUACUCGAAGUCGGAAAGAGUACUUGUAUAGCUAUGCAGAGGUUUCUGAUACUGAUUUUGAAGCUUGACAUAUCAAAGAAGAAUGCAAACAUGCAAGGUCUUACUAGCAGAGCUGAUGGUGUGAGAACCCCACUGAUGGAGAUUAUUCUGGAUGAGCUGACAUAUGAUUGGAAUAUGCUUUCUCCAUUUCUUCAGGUUUUCAGUGAACCAAAAUGGAAGCUUGAAAUAGUUGUGCAGUUUUUCUUGAAAUACACUACUAAGCCUUCUGUUCGCACACGGAGCUCAAUUGGUCCCACAAAUGAUGCAACAUUCAAUAGCGUUUUAAAUUGCUUUUCAAAUAGCGUCAGCACAAAGAACAUUGUGAAAAGGAUCAGUACUGAUAUAGUUCAGUUGCUUUUGGCACAUGCUUUUCAGGCACAUUUGUCAAUGUCAUACCAAAAUAUUGAAGGCAUCUCUGAUUCCAAGGAAGAGAUGAGAGAUGACUCUCUUCUCGAAAUAUGCAAGAAUGUAAUAUGUGCCUUUAACAUUUUGAGAAGCACAAAUGGAAAAUUGGAGAUUUUGCCUAUUGGAAAAGAAGCAUUGUUUACAGCAGCAACUAUCCUCUCAACAAACUCGUAGGAGUUUACAAAAAUCAUCCCAGUCGCUAUGCAAAGAAUUUCAUACCACUGAGUCGCAUACUUGAGAAGUUCAAGAAGGGAAACAUGGAGGAUUGCAAGAUUGCCCACAGGCGCAAUUACUUCUUCACAGCAAUAAAAGAAAAAUAAUUAAGAAAUGCGGUGGAGUCAUAGAAGAAGACAAUGGCAACUUACUGGGAGCAGCUUUUUUUGGAUACCUGUCACUUUUACUAUUCUAAUAAACAUAGGAAAUCUAAACUAUGGUAUCACAAAGAACAAGGCUAGCGAAGAACACAGUGGAUUGCUAUUUUUUUAUUUGACCCUUUGUAUUGAAAUUAUAUAUAUAGUAGUAUUAGACCACAAGAGCCAACGUGGGUGCAACUAUUAA